rnacentral:lncRNA from 1 species
GAUUAUCAACAAGCAAUUAACUCUAUCGGCAAUAUCAUCACAAAUCUUCUCAACAUUCUUCAUUUUCUUACUACAUGUAAGCAUCCAAACUCAUCUUACAUUCACAGAAAACGAAGUAAAUGGCAGGAAUUAUUUGGUUGCAAACUGUAGAUCAUGUUAUGCGGAUAGUGGAAAAUUGGAACCUGAAAACAUAACUUGCUGGCACAAAAGCUUGUGCUAUGCAUUAUGCAUUUCCACGAUCAAAUGCAGUUCUGUUUUUGGGGACUCCAUUAUACAACUCAAUGAGUUCUGGAUACUCCUUGUAGCAGUUGACGAACUUCUCCAGAAAUUGUUUCUCUGUAUAUUUCAUGUAUGUCAAUAUACUAAGGUUACUGAUGCAAACUCCCCUAGACUUCAGGCCUGUCACAAUCCGAUGCCUUGGCAUCAACUUUUUCUCCAAACUCAUCAACAAAAAAUCUGGCCGAAGUGCAAGAUAAGAUGGAGCACAUCCAGCUUCANNNNNNNNNNNNNNNNNNNNUUCGAUCUGACGAGGUGGGUGAUGUCGGAGCAGGAGAAGCCCAGAUCCUGCAAAGCUCGGAACUUUGGGGCCAGGGUCUUCUCCACGUCGAGGAGAAGCCACCGGGGGUUUGCAGAUAUGACCUUUUUCACCUGGGUGUUGUCAAAACCGUAGCUUUUAAAUAAGCCAAGGACGGAGUCAGGCUGGUGGCGGGAUUCGACGCGGCCAAGGAGCUUCGAGGCUUUGGCCGCCUGAUCAGGAUGGAAGCCACAGGAGCUGACCAGGUAUUCAGCCAUAAGGCUGCUCUCUGGAGCACCGGAGGCGGCGGAAUAAGAAUGGGUUGCGAGAAAAAGGGCAGCAUUGGCCGGACGACAGCAAGGGACGAAGGCAAGGGCUUUGGACAAGAGAGAGACGUAGGGCGACCUAUUCAUCAUUGUCAUCGUCUUCUUCUUCUUUGUAGGUUCCUUCUCUUUACCAAAACCAAGCGAAGGUGGCGUAGCUGCGUAUAGAGGAGCGCGUUUAGGCCGGAAGUACCUGCGUCUUAAACCCUAGAAGUGCGUUACCGUAUUCGACAUUUUUCUUUCGGGCGGAGAUUACUGCGACCGCAGGCGUCUUUUUUUUUUUCUUAAGUUUGUUGAGGGGAGAAAAAACUUUUAUUGCGUGCGAACUAAAGAUAAUAAAAGGUGUUCUUUUAGAAAAAAUUUGCACUAUUAUUUUUUUUAUCUAGGGUUUAUUUUUUAUAGUUAGAACAAAAAUAUACCAUUAAUCUUCUAUUAAAAAUGACUUGAUCAGCUAUUAAAAAAUUGAUAAUUAAUUAUCAAAAAAUUUAAAAAAUAUAAAAAGCUAUGCUAAUCAUUUUAAAAUCAAUAGAUAUGGAUUGAAGAUGAUUAAUAUCUAUUUUUUAAAAAAAUAUCAAAUUAUAAUUUAUUUAAAUAAUAUCUAUGAUUAAGUCACAUAAGUUCAAAAUAUAAGAGUGUUUUUUGUCUAUAUAAAAAAUACCUAAGUAAAAAUGAAUAUGGAGGGUUUUAUCGAUAAAAAAAACUAAUACGAGAAAUCAUCUUUUUUAUAAAAGACCCAACAUAAAUGAAUGAAUGCUAGAAAACAACUUAUUCGUCGUAAAAUUUGAUGGAUUAAUACAUAUGCUACUCUAAUUAUCAAGUUAAAGUCAACAAUAAAAAAUUCUGCUCAUUGUUGACUUAAGAAUCUACUCAAUAGAUUUUCACCAAAUAGGGAAAGAUAGAGACUCGCAAACACGUCAACUAUCUUGCUACUGAGAAUUGCUACAAACAUAUACUAUCUAUCAAACAAAGCCCAAGGCAGCUUUUAUGUAGAAAUUAAUAAUAAUUUGAUGAUCAUGUUCAUACUAAAAAUAAAAAGUCAUUCAUCACAUAAUCAUUAACUUGUUAUAUCCAUAUCAAGAUUAAGAAGGUGUACCCUGAUUACCUUUGAUUUAUAAUCGAUAAUAUUUGAUUUAACAUAUUGACAAGUAUUGUAAUUGUUAUAAAUAUCCUUAUACGGAAUCAAAUAGUUUGAGUAAUAUAUCUCACCUUUAUAAAGGUUUCUUCUCAUCUUUAUUAUUUUUUAAUAUCGGAGAAUUAUUCUGUCAGCUUAAGGGAUUUAUAUAUCACUAGCUUACUUUUAAUGCAAAGUAACUCAAAAUCUCAUAUCUCAAAAUUGUUAGAAUAUAUGGCUCUUUAUAAUAGAAUAAGAUAUAUAAUAAAAUUAAUUAGAUUUUGAUGUCGGAUAUUAGUCAAUAAAAAGGAGUAUGGGCCAAGUGGGAAAAUAUCUUAUUAAUUAAUGGGUUAAGUGGGAGAAUAUCAAAAUAUAUUAUCCUUUAUAAUUGAAUAAGAUGUAUAAUAAUUCUGAUAAUGGAUAUUAGCUAAUAGAAAAGAAGUUCAUAUUAUAGUAUGAUUCCUUAGGGGACGCCCUUGAUGAGAGGACUCUCAUAAUUACUUAACAUAGACCCUCUAAUCUUACAUAUAAAUAGAUAGGACCUCCUAGGGACUAAUGACAUGAUGUUUAUGUGAUGUGAUGACCGUGGACACAUAUACAAGAUACGAUAGGUGACAUUGAGAGAUUACGAUUUCUUUCUCAUCCUCUCUUGUCUCUAAACCAUUAAUAACUAUAGUCUUGUGAAAAGGUAGAAAGAGAUGANNNNNNNNNNNNNNNNNNNNNNNNNNNNNNNNNNNNNNNNNNNNNNNNNNNNNNNNNNNNNNNNNNNNNNNNNNNNNNNNNNNNNNNNNNNNNNNNNNNNNNNNNNNNNNNNNNNNNNNNNNNNNNNNNNNNNNNNNNNNNNNNNNNNNNNNNNNNNNNNNNNNNNNNNNNNNNNNNNNNNNNNNNNNNNNNNNNNNNNNNNNNNNNNNNNNNNNNNNNNNNNNNNNNNNNNNNNNNNNNNNNNNNNNNNNNNNNNNNNNNNNNNNNNNNNNNNNNNNNNNNNNNNNNNNNNNNNNNNNNNNNNNNNNNNNNNNNNNNNNNNNNNNNNNNNNNNNNNNNNNNNNNNNNNNNNNNNNNNNNNNNNNNNNNNNNNNNNNNNNNNNNNNNNNNNNNNNNNNNNNNNNNNNNNNNNNNNNNNNNNNNNNNNNNNNNNNNNNNNNNNNNNNNNNNNNNNNNNNNNNNNNNNNNNNNNNNNNNNNNNNNNNNNNNNNNNNNNNNNNNNNNNNNNNNNNNNNNNNNNNNNNNNNNNNNNNNNNNNNNNNNNNNNNNNNNNNNNNNNNNNNNNNNNNNNNNNNNNNNNNNNNNNNNNNNNNNNNNNNNNNNNNNNNNNNNNNNNNNNNNNNNNNNNNNNNNNNNNNNNNNNNNNNNNNNNNNNNNNNNNNNNNNNNNNNNNNNNNNNNNNNNNNNNNNNNNNNNNNNNNNNNNNNNNNNNNNNNNNNNNNNNNNNNNNNNNNNNNNNNNNNNNNNNNNNNNNNNNNNNNNNNNNNNNNNNNNNNNNNNNNNNNNNNNNNNNNNNNNNNNNNNNNNNNNNNNNNNNNNNNNNNNNNNNNNNNNNNNNNNNNNNNNNNNNNNNNNNNNNNNNNNNNNNNNNNNNNNNNNNNNNNNNNNNNNNNNNNNNNNNNNNNNNNNNNNNNNNNNNNNNNNNNNNNNNNNNNNNNNNNNNNNNNNNNNNNNNNNNNNNNNNNNNNNNNNNNNNNNNNNNNNNNNNNNNNNNNNNNNNNNNNNNNNNNNNNNNNNNNNNNNNNNNNNNNNNNNNNNNNNNNNNNNNNNNNNNNNNNNNNNNNNNNNNNNNNNNNNNNNNNNNNNNNNNNNNNNNNNNNNNNNNNNNNNNNNNNNNNNNNNNNNNNNNNNNNNNNNNNNNNNNNNNNNNNNNNNNNNNNNNNNNNNNNNNNNNNNNNNNNNNNNNNNNNNNNNNNNNNNNNNNNNNNNNNNNNNNNNNNNNNNNNNNNNNNNNNNNNNNNNNNNNNNNNNNNNNNNNNNNNNNNNNNNNNNNNNNNNNNNNNNNNNNNNNNNNNNNNNNNNNNNNNNNNNNNNNNNNNNNNNNNNNNNNNNNNNNNNNNNNNNNNNNNNNNNNNNNNNNNNNNNNNNNNNNNNNNNNNNNNNNNNNNNNNNNNNNNNNNNNNNNNNNNNNNNNNNNNNNNNNNNNNNNNNNNACUAAUGACAUGAUUGUUUAUGUGAUGUGAUGACCGUGGACACAUAUACAAGAUACGAUAGGUGACAUUGAGAGAUUACGAUUUCUUUCUCAUCCUCUCUUGUCUCUAAACCAUUAAUAACUAUAGUCUUGUGAAAAGGUAGAAAGAGAUGAGGAGUGUUUAGUUCUCCUUGUAGAUUGACAUUUGAUAUAGAUGAUUUUGCCCCACACAAACUCAUUUGCCACUAAGGCCAACAUGAGAGUUCCAGGUAACCAACUCCGAAAUGGCACCAUAGUGCAUUCUGAUAACCACCCUACCUUAUUAAGAUCAAAGAAUGAUAAGGUGAUUCAACUAAUUUUAUCCAAGGCCAGCCAGUAAAAGACCCAGGGAUCAAGUAUAAAAAGGAACUCAUUAACUCACGCUGAGAGGGGGGACUUUCUACAUACUAACCUAGUCAUACAGCUUACGCUACUAUCUUUUUUCUUUCGCUGACUUAAGCAUCGGAAGGGAUGCGUUAGGCAACCCACAAUGUUGGCCUAUCAUGCAAGAUUGCUAACGGUCAAGAGAUGACAUCACUGUUAGGACACAACCAUGCAACCACGAGACAAUCCUUCAUUCGAGGACACAUGGAUGACCCAACCCUAGGGAAGAACCUCACAACUAAGAAGACUCCAAACCUCCUACCCGAUCAUCCUGAAUCGGGUCCUCGCCAAUAGAAUGAAGUCCGAUCAGACCGCCUAUGCUGUCUCACUCAUCAGGUCACCCACAUCAGUCAAGAAAAGGCACCUGGGCAAACUUGCACCUUCGAUAGUGGAUCAACCGUGUUGAGUUAUCAAUCGAUGGUAUUCAUGACACCAUCAAUAUCCUUAUAAUAUUUGAAUCUGAGGAUGGUGAUCCUACAUACAUAGAGAAUUUUUCAGAUAACUUUGAAGGUAUGUAAUAUAAAUCUAAUAUAUGUUAUUUAAUUUCAAUCCCAAUAUUAAAAUUAAUAUAUAGCAUAUAAUAUAUUUUAUGCCGGAAACUUGAUAGUGGAUCAAUCGUGCUGAGUUAUCAGUCGACGGUACUCAUGAUACCAUCAAUAUUUUUAUAAUAUUCGAAUAUAAGGAGGAUGCUGAUCCAAUAGAGAAUUUUUCACAUGACUUUGAAAGAUAUGUAAUAUAAAUCUAAUAUAUAUUAUUUGAUUUCAAUCCCGAUAUUAAAAUUAAUAUAUAACAUAUAAUAUAUUUUAUGCUUGGAACUUGCUAUGUGCCCUCUUUCCCUCUUCUUUCGACCCUUUAUAUCGCUCUGCAAAUAAUCAUUAUUACACUCCAAAAGCUAACGGUAAACGAAGCAAAAGAGGCAAAUGGAACAAAAGACCAGUCUUGGGACCCUGUCCUGUUUCUAUGUUGUCCCAGAAAGCCAGGUACCUUAAAAGAUUUUUCUUUGUCUCUGGAAUAGUUAAACAUGGCCAAAUUAAAUUAAGAUUUUGUCAGUAGAGAAGACAGCAGAACAUAACUAAAACUUGAGCAAAACCAAGUGAAGAAUUGGUAAAUGAAUGCUUAUAUUUUACCUUGAUUCAAAGUACCGAUGCUGAACCCAUAUCUUGCCAAUGAAGUAGGAUGAAUUCAACCUCGGUUGUAAAGUAAGAGCAGGAGUUAAAAGAAUGGAAGCCAGCCAUGGCCUUUUGCAGAGGAGACGAUCAGACGAAUCCUUGUGAGCUAGGAGAUUGGAGGUGGGGUAAGCCAACAUCAUCAUCCACAUGGCCAAUAAUUGUGUUCAGGUUAGAUAAGAUUCUAUGAGAAACUCACGUGCCUCAUUACGGUUAACUUGUUAGAUUUACCAUUUCGUUUGGAUCAGCAGAUAAAUCCAUCCAAAAGAUAACAAGGAUUUGAAGCCUUUGCUGUGUGUGUGAUCUCUAGUAUGUUGUCUGAUCUAAGUGGAGGAAGAUAAAAAAUAAAAUACAAGUUAAUAUAUCAUAUGCUUAAGAAAGUUCCAAAUAAGUUCCCAUGAUUUUCCAUUUGAUUUUUAUGGAAUUCGACAAAACAAGUUCCUUUUGGAGUUAGCAUUCUAAACCGUGCACUGAGGUGGAGCAUUGUGAUGAUGAGAUUAAACUGACUAGCACAGAAUAAAAAGAGCGAAGUUUUAGUUUCUAUAGUGAAAAUGAUGGAAGGGGUGCUAAUAACUUAUGAAAUGUGUAUGCUAAUAAGUUUUAGUUUCUAUGGUAUUUUUAAAUAACGUUAUAGUGUUUUUGUAAGGUGUAAAGCCAUUGAAAAAUAUCAGUUAUAGUAUUUUCAAUUGCAGCAUCAGAGAGUUCCCCUCUUCCCAACACCUGUUUACCUAACAACGAGCAUGAAUAUAUGCCUAUGACCAAAAAAUUCCAUUUGGUGUCUGCAAAAUAUGGCGGCAAACACUAAAUCCGGUGAAGAAAUGAAUGCCAUUUGCCCUUCGCUUGCAUCUCAUAGGUGCAAAAGAAGGGGAAAAGAAUCUGGGCAUAAAAUCUAGUUAGCUAGAAUUUGGAUGCUUUCAUCUCCAGAAUCUAUCUUUUUAUCUUUUCUUAAAUAUCAGUGAAUUCAAUGUAGAAGGCAUUGCAGUUUUCUUCCUGUUUCUUCCUUUCUUUUCUUUUAGAAAAACAAAAGGAUGAUGAGAAUAUGCACAUUUUGGUUAUAUAUUCUCAACAAUGAUUUGAGAAUAAGAACAAUGAAAUGACUGCAGACAGGACCAAUAUCUAUGUUUUCAGAAAUAACAACUGAUAAGUCGUCAAAUGAACAGCUGUGCUGUGUGCAUUAGUCUUUAUAAAGUAUAAAUUCCACAUCAUACUUCACUUGAUCACCAUCAAUAUGGUGGAAACAAAUUUAAAAGAAAGUUCAGUUUGAUAUGAUGUAAAACAAGAUAUCUCAUUCUUGGUUUGAUCUAAUUCCAAAAAUUUAUGCUCAGAUCUAUAUCAUUUCUUAAGUAUAUUUGAACACACAACAAUAACAAUAUCAGAAAUCUUAAAUUCGGGAAGCAGGGAUGAUACCGCAUUACCAACAAAACCUGAUAAUAACGAGAAAAAAUAAAUAGAUCUUGUUUAGCGAGCAAUUUUAGAGGGCAUAAAAACCUAGAACAUAUAUAGUUCUACAAGUUGAAAGGAUCUCAGUCCUUCUAGAGACAAAAUCUCCCACAAAAAGUAUCAAGCCUUGCAAAGAGCAACAGUCCUUUACUACUGAAAGAACCUGACCCUAUCCAGCUGCUAGUUCUGAGGCAGUACAGUACAUGUAUAAUUCUUCGCUGAUAACGAGUCAAGCCUUUGUUAGGUAAACAUCUCUACGAUGAUCAACAUGCGAUAGGGUGCAAGUCAUCUAAAACUUCUCUUGAUCCCGAUAACUCAACAAGAGUAAGCAGUGCUUCAGUUUAAUUUAACCAAGUACAUACCAGCCAGAGACACUGCUGUUAAUUCUCCAAGGCCAAUAAUGUAUGAAUACCUAAGAAAAAGCACAAUGCAAAAGAUUGGAACUAGGACACAUACAACAUUUACUGGAGAUUAGCAUGCUACAAUACCUCAGGGAAGUUAUAUUGACGUAUUUGUCCAGAGACAACAAUACAACAAAGUCUUAAGAAAAGGAACACACCAAAAUAUUAAAAAUCGGACGAAUGGCUGAGACUAGCAUGCUAUACUAUAACAGAAUAGCAAAAAUAAGAAUCUGGAGAACCAUUAGGCAAUAAAUUCGAGAUUACAUGUUGCCAUUAGGCAAUAAAUUUAGAUAUGCUCUAUUGUCACAUUGAAGCACAAGUUUGUAACAUAAAAACAACCUGCAUAAUUUGACAUAUUAACUAGACUUCCAGAUCACAUUUUUGUUUGAUAGCUAUUACAGCUUUGACAAAAAUAAGACACCGAACAAAGGAUGCAAAAGAAACAUAUAGUAGCAAAAGCCAAAAAAGUUGAAAUGUGGAUUUUCAUAGUACAUAAACCAGUAUAACUACAUAUCAUAAAUAUAACCAAAGAUUCUAACCGUUAGAAAUAUCUUGACUUCAGUCUGACUGUGGGCAAAAUAUGUUUCAGGAAGGCUGAAAUUGGUGUCAUCUGACAGCGGACAAAAUACAUUUUGGGAAGGGAGAAAUUGGCCUACAAGAAGUCAGCAAGUCUCAUUUCUCUUUCAUUACAUGAAGGCUGGCAAAGGUUGAAUUCUCCCUAGCAAAGUAACUCCUAGAAUUAUAUUUCCUUUUCCAAUUUGUUCAACAUAUCCUUACUAAUGUAAUCAAACUAGCACACUGCAGAUGCCAAACUCUGGAAGGUAACACAUACUAAAACAGCAAUUUCCAAGAACCUUGUUAAUCCACUUCUUUUGCACCAGACACUCCGCAAAUGGAGCUAACACCCCAAGUAUUUUUUAUUGAUAAGAACAAUUUAUGAUCGAUACAACACAGCCUCUGGACAGCAACACCUACUAAAAUAGCGAUUUCCGAGAACACUGCUAAUCCACUUCUUUUGCACCAAACACCCAGUAAAUGGAGCAAACAAUCAAGUACUUUUGAUUGAUAGGAACAUUUUAUGCACCGAACACUCAAUAUGACCCAACCUAAAAAAUGAGAGGAUCACACCCUCUGUAAACUUAUGAUCCAGACAUCUGUAACGCACAGAGCACAAUAAUAAUAUUCAUUGACAAUAAUGGAAAAUGCAUCCCAUCAAGUCUCAUCAUUAUUACUGGCGUACACAUCUAACUGUACAUUUAUUAAAUUUCAGAUAACAAUCUUCACAUUGCUAGAACCGAACACUUCUCAAUCCUUAGCUCCUCAACUACUGAUCAUCUGAAAUAUGUAAUUUUCAGAUCGAUAGGGAUUUUCUUAGUAGAAACAAGACGUCAAGAAAUCUAGUUGUGUCUCAUGCAAUCAGCUAAAGAUAAGAAUAAUAAUGAAAAAAUAGAAUAAAUUAGAAUAAAAGAUCUCACAAAUUCAUCAUGAGAAAAGCACAUCCAUCAGUGCACUUUGCUGCAUUGGAACUCGUCCGACUGCACAGAAUGAAGCAACCUCCUUAUAGACCAAAUUCAUAUCACAUUCCCUGGUAUUAGUCCAUUACUAAGAUCAAGUGGUGCCUGGAAACAGUGGAAAUAUGUCUUUCUAUAGUUGCAAGGAAUAUCUUAUAAGCUUGUUUGACGACUACUAAUCCCUUUCAAAAUUGCCCCCUAAUAAUGACAAUGUUGUUCAAUCAUCCAUAUAUGUGUAUAUCAACAAGCUGCACAACCAUGCAACAACAUCCUUUCACAUUUUCAAGCGUCCAGCUUAUGCAUCAUGGCACUUCUAACAAAUAUUAAUGUGCGUCAAUUAUAGGCAAUAAUAGAUUGCCAAAAGAAAUAUGAACUAAUAACAGCAUAUUAAAAUUUCAUCAUGUCAGCAUACAGAGAAUCUAGGUUUUAUGAGGCACCUAACACUAUAUUGAUCAUCCAAAUUGGAUACAGAGUCCAAAAAAGUUAUUAUCGAUUUACAAUUCAGUCCUUGAAAUUUACAAUCAUUUCUUCAUUACAUUGCAAACCAGUCCCUAGCAGUCUUAAUGGGCAGGACCUUAGGCUGCCAUGUGGAACUUGGUCUCACAGGCCGGACCACAUGGAGUUGGCCUGUCUGAGCUGAAGUGCAUGAAGUUUAGACCACCCUCGUACUCAAAUGCUUAAAUUGGUAAAGGACAACUUGCAUAUUCCAGUGCUUAAAUUGAGAACAAAACAUUGUCAAUACGGAAAGUGUGGUUUCCUUCAUAAAUCUAAGAGUUACAACUUCAUACUCAAGAAGACAGUCAGCUGCAACCUAUCAUGGUGGCAACCUGGUAUUCAUUAAGGUUUUGCAUUUAUAAAGAGAGAAAUUUCAACUGAAUUGACCGAUCAGCAUGAGGAAAAAAGUGGUUCAAACUAAUCACUUAAGAAAGAGAACAAAGUUUGAUAAACAAAAUAUACAAAAAAUUGAAACCCAACCUCAUCUCCCUUUUUCGGGUUUUGGGUUUGGUUUUGAAUAGGAGGGACUUUAGUAAAUUUAUAUAAAAGGUGACCAACCCUUGCGCUAAAUCAAAAGCCUCAUCAUCCAGCUCAAAAUCACCAAAGCAUCCUACCAUACCAUCCAAAAGAAUCCUACUUCUUAUCAUUUGAUAAAAUAACCAAAACUCGAAACCUAAAUUACCAAUUAUCCAUAGUUAAAUCAAUUCAAAACUUCAGGUGUCCAAUAACCUACAUAAGUCUGAUAUCUUCCAGUAGACUUAAAACGAAUGGGACAAGAAUAACAAUUCCAUGUGGAGUCUACACAAGUGAUUAUCAACAAGCAAUUAACUCUAUCGGCAAUAUCAUCACAAAUCUUCUCAACAUUCUUCAUUUUCUUACUACAUGUAAGCAUCCAAACUCAUCUUACAUUCACAGAAAACAAAGUAAAUGGCAAGAAUUAUUUGGUUGCAAACUGUAUAUCAUGUUAUGCAGAUAGUUGAAAAUUGGAACCUGGAAACAUAACUUGCUGGUACAAAAGCUUGUGCUAUGCAUUAUGCAUUUCCACGAUCAAAGUGCAUUUCUGUCUUUGGGGGCUACAUUAUACAACUCAAUGAGUUCUGGAUACUCCUUGUAGCAGUUGACGAACUUCUCCAGAAAUUGUUUCUCUGGAUAUUUCAUGUAUGAAAAUAUACUAAGGUUACUGAUGCAAACUCCCCUAGACUUCAGACCUGUCACAAUCCGAUGCCUUGGCAUCAACCUUUUCUCCAAACUCAACAACAAUAAAUCUGGCCGAAAUGCAAGAUAAGAUGGAGUACAUCCGGCUUCAUUUACCAAGAACUCCAUCUUCCUCUGCAAACUCUUUAAAGAAAAUCGCACAAACGUAGGAGCCUUUCUGAAUGCAGCAAGGAAAUCAUCCUCGGACCACCCGAAGCCCUUGAAGAACUCCAAGUGAGCCUUGAAGUUAUUCUCGGAGACGCUCUGGAGCACACUCAGGAUCACGAGGAACAUCCCCGAGGUGCGAGGUACUCCCAAAACCUCGACACGGCUGAUUAACGCCUUCAGGGUUUCAGCAUUCCGGGUUAUGAGGAGGGGAUAUUGCCGUAGGAUCAUUGAGAGCUUCUGAUCCGUCAUCCCGCAAUCCCUUAGAAUUUCAAUGUUAGGCUGGAUCGUCUUCUCGAUGCUAUACCCGAGUAACCACCUGUUUCUCUUCCAUAUCUUCAUCAGUAAGUCGUUGGACCCGAGGAGGCCUUGCCAUAAUUGGAUCUUCGACAAGAUGGUCUGGGAAUUGUCGCUGAUGACGUCGUUANNNNNNNNNNNNNNNNNNNNNNNNNNNNNNNNNNNNNNNNNNNNNNNNNNNNNNNNNNNNNNNNNNNNNNNNNNNNNNNNNNNNNNNNNNNNNNNNNNNNNNNNNNNNNNNNNNNNNNNNNNNNNNNNNNNNNNNNNNNNNNNNNNNNNNNNNNNNNNNNNNNNNNNNNNNNNNNNNNNNNNNNNNNNNNNNNNNNNNNNNNNNNNNNNNNNNNNNNNNNNNNNNNNNNNNNNNNNNNNNNNNNNNNNNNNNNNNNNNNNNNNNNNNNNNNNNNNNNNNNNNNNNNNNNNNNNNNNNNNNNNNNNNNNNNNNNNNNNNCGGCGGAAUAAGAAUGGGUUGCGAGAAAAAGGGCAGCAUCGGCCGGACGACAGCAAGGGACGAAGGCAAGGGCUUUGGACAAGAGAGAGACGUAGGGCGACCUAUUCAUCAAUGUCAUCGUCUUCUUCUUCUUCUUCUUCUUCUUCUUUGUAGGUUCCUUCUCUUUACCAAAACCUAGCGAAGGUGGCGUAGCUGCGUAUAGAGGAGCGCGUUUAGGCCGGAAGUACCUGCGUCUUAAACCCUAGAAGUGCGUUACCGUGUUCGACAUUUUUUUUUCGGGCGGAGAUUACUGCGACCGCAGGCAUCUUUUUUUUCUUCGUCAACUUUUAGUUUGUUGAGGGGAGAAAAAACUUUUAUUGCGUGCCAACUAAAGAUAAUAAAAGGUGUUCUUUUAGAAAAAAGUUGCACUAUUAUUUUUUUAUCUUGGGUGUAUUUUUUAUAGUUAGAACAAAAAUAUACCCUUAAUCUUCUAUUAAAAAUGACUUGAUCAGCUAUUAAAAAAUUGAUAAUUAAUUAUCAAACAAAUUUUAAAAAAUAUAAAAAGCUAUACUAAUCAUUUUAAAAUCAAUAGAUAUGUAUCGAAGAUGAUUAAUAUCUAUUUUUUAUUUUAAAAACUUUAUAAUUAAUUAUCAAAUUAUAAUUUAUUUAAAUAAUAUAUAUGAUUAAGUCACAUAAGUUAAAAAUAUAAGAGUGUUUUUUGUCUAUAUAAAAAAUACCUAAGUAAAAAUGAAUAUGGAGGAUUUCAUCGAUAAAAAAAACUAAUACUAAAAAUUAUUUUUUUUAUAAAAGACCCAACAUAAAUGAAUGAAUGUUAUAAAAUAACUUAUUCGUCAUAAAAUUUGAUGGAUUAAUACAUAUGCUACUCUAAUUAUCAAGUUAAAGUUAAUAAUAAAAAAUUCAUGUAAUCUUUAAUGUCAUCGUAACCAUCAACUAUUUAUGAUGUGAAUGGAAAACCUACUCAUUAUUCACUUAAAAAUCUAUUCAAUAGAUUUUCACCGUAUAGGGAACCAAUAGAGACUCACAAACACGUCGACUAUCUUGCUACUGAGAAUUAAUACAAACAUAUGCUAACUAUGAAACAAAGCCCAAGGCAACUUCUAUCUAGAAAUUAAUAAUCAUUAGAUGAUCAUAUUCAUACUAAAAAUAGAAAGUCAUUCAUCUCAUUAAGAAGGUGCACCUUGAUAAUUACUUUUGAUUUAGAAUCGAUUAUAUUUGAUUUAACAUAUUGACAAGCAUUGUAAUUGUUAUGAAUAUCCUUCUACGGAAUCAAAUAGUUUGCAUAAUAUAUCUCACAUUUAUAAAGGCUUCUUCUCAUAUUUAUUAUUUUUCAAUAUCGAAGAAUUAUUCUGUCAGCUUAAGGGAUUUAUACUUGAUCUAGCAGGCUCUUUAUGCAAAGUAACUCAAAAUCUCUUUUCAAUUUGUAUCUCAAAAUUGUUAUAAUACCUGACUGUUUUUAAUGGUUCUUUAUAAUUGAAUAAGAUAUAUAAUAAAAUUAAUUAGAUUUUGAUAACGGAUAUUAGUUAAUAGAAAGAAGUAUCAAAAUAGGGCCAAGUGGGAAAAUAUCUUAUUAAUUAAUGAGUUAAGUGAGAGAAUAUCAAAAUAUAUGACCCUUUAUAAUUAAAUAAGAUAUCUAAUAAAACCGAUUGAAUUCUGAUAACGGAUAUUAGCUAAUAGAAAGGAAGUUGAUAUUAUAAUAUGAUUCCUUAUGGUACGCACUUGAUGAGAGGACUCUCAUAAUUACUUAUCAUAUACCCUCUAAUCUCGCAUAUAAAUAGAUAGAACCUCCUAGGUCUAAUGACAUGAUGUUUAUGUGACGUGAUGAUCGUGGACACAUACAUAAGAUACGAUAGGUGACAUUGAGAGAUUACGGUUCCUUUCUCAUCAUCUCUUAUCACUGAACUAUCAAUAACUAUAGUCUUGUGAAAAUGUAGACAGAGAUGGGAAGUGUUUAGUUCUCUUUGUAGAUCAAUAUUUGAUAUAGAUGUUUUUGCUCCACACAAACUCAUCUGCCACUAAGGCCAACAAGAGAGUUCCAGGUCACCAGCUCCAAAAUGGCACCAUAGUACAUUCUGAUAACCAUCCUACUUUAUUAAGAUCAAAGAAUGAUCAGGUGAUUCAACUAAUCUUAUCCAAGGCUAGCUAAUAAAAGGCCUAGGGAUUAAGUAUAAAAAAGAAACUCAUUAACUCAAGCUAAGAGGGGGGACUUUCUACGUACUAACCUAGUUAUACAACUUACACCACUAUCUUUUCCCUUUCGCUGACUUAAGCAUCGGAAGGGAUGCGUUGGGCAACUCCCAAUACUGGCCUAUCAUGCAAGAUUGCUAAUGGCCAAGAGACGACAUCACUCUUAGGAUGCAGCCAUGCAACCACGAGACAAUCCUUCAUUCGAGGACACAUGGAUGACCCAACCCCAGGGAAGAACGUCGCAACCAAGAAGACUCCAAACCCCCUACCCGAUCAUCCCGAAUCGGGUCCUCACCAAUAGAACGAUGUCUGAUCGGACCGCCUAUGUUGUCUCACUCAUCGGGUCACCCACAUCAGUCAAGAAAAGGCACCUGGGUAAACUUGCACCUUCGAUAGUGGAUCAACCGUGUUGAGUUAUUAGUCGAUGGUACUCAUGACACCAUCAAUAUCCUUAUAAUAUUUGAAUAUGAGGAUGGUGAUCCUACAUAGAUAGAGAAUUUUUUAGAUGACUUUGAAAGGUGUGUAAUAAAAUCUAAUAUAUCUUAUUUGAUUUCAAUCCCGAUAUUAAAAUUAAUAUAUAGCAUAUAAUAUAUUUUAUGCUUGGAACUUGCUAUGUGUCCUCUUUCCCUCUUCUUUCUACCCUUUACAUCUCUCUACAAUAAUCAUUAUUACAAUCCAAAAGCUAACCGUAAAUUAAGCAAAAGAGGUAAAUGGAACAAAAAACCACUUUUGGGACCCUGCCCUGUUUCUAUGUUGUCCCAAAAAGCCAAGUACCUAAAAAGCUUUUUCUUUGUCUCUAGAAUAGCUAAACAUGGCCAAAUUAAGUUGAGAUUUUGGCAGCAGAGAAGAGCGGAACAUAACUAAAACUUGUGCAAAACCAAGUGAAGAAUUGGUAAAUGAGUGCUUAUAUUUUACCUUGAUUUAAAGUAUCGAUGCUGAACCCACAUCUUGCCAAUGAAGUAUAAUGAAUUCAACCUCAAUCGUAAAGUAAGAACAGGAGGUAAAAGAAUGAACGCCAACCAUGGCCAUUUGCAAAGGAGAUGAUCAAACGAAUCCUUGCGUGCUAGGAGAUUGGAGGUGGGUUAAGCCAACACCAUCAUCCACAUACCCAAUAAUUACGCUCAGGUUAGAUAAGAUUCCAUGAGAAACUCACAUGCCUCAUUACGGUUAACUUGUUAGAUUUACCACUUCGUUUGGAUCAGAAGAUAAAUCCAUCCAGUAGAUAACAAGGAUUUGAAGCCCUUGCUCUGUGUAUGUAAUCUCUAGUGUGUUGUCAGAUCUAAGUCGAGGAAGAUAAAAGACACGAGAUGUAUGAGUUGAUAUAUCAUAUGCUUAAGAAAGUUCAAAAUAAUUUCUCAUGAUUUUCCAUUAGAUUAUUGUGGAAUUCCAAGUCGUAGACAAAGCAUGUACCUUUUGGAGUUCUUCGUACGUACACAAUAUCUUGUGACAGACAUCUUUAUUAAGAUCUUUGGUUAUUUGCAGACAAAAGAUAAGUACUGCACAGACGAAGGAUCAUAAGCACACUUCGUUAACCCAAGAAACCUGACUGAUUUGUACUCAUGUAAAGACUGAUCAUAAAGUAAGCAUUCUAAACCGUGCACUGAGAUGGAGCAUUGUGGUGAUGAGAUUAAACUGACUAACCCAGAAUUAAAAAGUAAAGAUUUAAUUUCUACAAUGAAAAUGAUGGAAGAGGUGCUAAUAACUUGUGAAAUGUGUAUGCUUUGAUAUGCAUUUGAUGGAGUUGUGUGCAUGCAUCAAAACCAAAUUUCAGUUGUCAGAUAUCAUUACUGAUUUGUUGGUAAUUAGUUCCACAAAUUGUUAUACCAGCUUGGGAAAAGAAUCUGUACAUGUCAUAACAUGUUAGAACAAUAAACACCAUGAUCUUAUAAAAGAAAAGUACUCGUUCUUUAAUCCUAUGUGGAAGGUCUCAUAAAAAACUUGAACAAUUUUAUGAAAAAACUUCACAUUUUAUUUUUUUAAAAAAAAUUGUAAAUAUUUUUCCCUUUUUUUUUUUCCGAACAUGAGCAUAUUGAUCCAAAAUGGUGCACUAAUCUAAAUAGAUAGAUUUGAUCAUUUAAGGCUGGGAGUCCAUUUAGAUGAUUUAUAAUAUUUAUAAAUAGAUUUUAUAGUAUUUUUGUUGUGAUGAUCGAAACAUUAUAAAAGGUUAAACAUUAUAGGCUUGUAAUUAGUUUGAUUGAGGUUUAGUUUAUUUAUGGUAUGCUUUACAAUAUUUUUCAUGGCUAAUAAAAACAUUAUAAUAAACUAAUUUUUUACUCCUAUUUGGAUGAUAUUAUUAUUAAAUUAUUAUAAAUACAUAGUAUGAUAUAUCAAAUUAUUUCUAGUGUGUUUGGAUUUCUCAGUUAUAGUAUUUUUAAAUAACGUUAUAGUGUUUUUGUAAGGUGUAAAGCCAUUGAAAAAUAGUAUUUUUCAAUUGUUCAUCUUUGAUUAUCAUUGAUCGUAGAUCAUUACAGCCUAUAGUUGGUUUGACCGAGUCCAUUUGGGUCAUUUAUAAUAUUUUUAUUAUUAUGAUCAAAAUACUAUAAAAAUUAAUUUUUGAUCCUCAGUAAUGAUCAUGCUACUGUACAAAACCAAUCAAUCAACUUGGAUUCACACACCUAUAGAUCGGUCUAAAAGGUAUCCAUGAAAUUAGCGGGAAAAAUAUCAUUGAGACCGGUAAGAGAUACUUUCGGUAUUAUUCAAAAUAGAAGGGAGAAACAUGAGACAUAAUUUAGAAUAAUAAUAAUAAUAAUAAUAAUAAUAAUAAUAAUAAUAAUAAUAAUAAUAAUAAUAAUAAUAAUAAUAAUAAUAAUAAUAAAAGAGAGCUUUUGCUGACAAACAAAUUCCUUGAUUUGUGCGCUGUAGUUGUAGGGUCAUUUAGACUUUGCAGCAUCAGAGAGUUCCCCUCUUCCCAACUCCUGUUUACUUAACAAUGAGCAUGAAUAUACGCCUACGACCAAAAAUUCCAUUUGGCGCCCGCAAAAUAUGGCUGCAGAAACUAAAUCCGGUGAAGAAAUGAAUGCCAUUUGCCCUUCACUUGCAUCUCAUAGGAGCAAAAGAAGGGGAAAAGAAUCUGGGCAUAAAAUCUAGUUAGCUAGAGUUUGGAUGCUUUCAUCUCAAGAAAUCUCUCUUUUUAUAUUUUCUUAAAGUUCAGUAGAUUCAAUGUAGAAGGCAUUGCAAUUUUCUACCUGUUUCUUCCUUUCUAUCUUUUCUUUUGGAAAAACAAAAGGAUGGCCAGAAUAUGCACAUUUUGGUUAUAUAUUCUCAACAAUGAUGAGAAUAAGAACAAUGAUAUGACUGCAGACAGGACCAAUAUCUAUGUUUUCAGAAAAUACAACCGAUAAGUCGUCAAAUGAACAGCAGUGCUGUGUGCAUUAGUCUUUAUAAAGUAUAAAUUCCACAUCAUACUUCACUUGAUCUCCAUCAAUAUGGUGGAAACAAAUUUAAAAGAAAGUUCAGUUUGAUAUGAUGUAAAACAAGAUAUCUCAUUCUUUGUUUGAUCUAAUUACAAAAAGUUAUGCUCAGAUCUAUAUCAUUUCUUAGUCUAGAGUAUAUUUGAACACACAACAAUAACAUUAAUUGCAAGCCAUAAUGAGCAGAUGUUGCCAAUCAGAAAUCUUAAAUUCGGGAAGCAGGGAUGAUACCGCAUUACCAACAAAACCUGAUAAUAACGAUUAAAAAUAAAUUGAUCUUGUUUAGCAAGCAAUUUUAGAGGGCAUAAAAUCCUAGAACAUAUAUAGUUCUACAAGUUGAAAGGAUCUCAGUCCUUUUAGAGACAAAAUCCCCCACAAAAAGUAUCAAGCCUUGCAAACAGCAUCAGUCUUUUCCUACUGAAAGAACCUGACCCUAUCCAGCAGCUAGUUCUGAGGCAGUACAGUACAUGUAUAAUUCUUCGCUGAUAACGACUCAAGCCUUUGUUAGGAAAACAUCUCUACGAUGAUCAACAUGCGAUAGGGUGCAAGUCAUCUAAAACUUCUCUUGAUCCCGAUAACUCAACAGGAGUAAGCAGUGCUUCAGUUUAAUUUAACCAAGUACCUACCUGCCAGAGACACUGCUGUUAAUUCUCCAAGGCCAAUAAUGUAUGAAUACCUAAGAAAAAGCACAAUGCAAAAGAUUGGAACUAGGACACAUACAACAUUUACUGGAGAUUAGCAUGCUACAAUACCUCAGGGAAGUUAUAUUGACGUAUUUGUCCAGAGACAACAAAACAACAAAGUCUUAAGAAAAGGAACACACCAAAAUAUUAAAAAUCGGACGAAUGGCUGAGACUAUCAUGCUAUACUACAACAGAAUAGCAUAUAUAAGAAUCUGGAGAACCAAGGGCUGGAAUCAAAUUUGAGAUUACAUGUUGCCAUUAGGCAAUAUAUUUAGAGAUGCCCUAUUGUCACAUUGAAGCACAAGUUUGUAACAUAAAAACAACCUGCAUAAUUUGACAUAUUAACUAGACUUCCAGAUCACAUUUUUGUUUGAUAGCUAUUACAGCUUUGACAAAAAUAAGACACCGAACAAAGGAUGCAAAAGAAACAUAUAGUAGCAAAAGCCAAAAAUGUUGAAAUGUGGAUUUUCAUAGUACAUAAACCAGUAUAACUACAUAUCAUAAAUAUAACCAAAGAUUCUAACGGUUAGAAAUAUCUUGACUUCAGUCUGACUGUGGGUAAAAUACAUUUCAGGAAGGCUGAAAUUGGUGUCAUCUGACAGCGGACAAAAUACAUUUUGGGAAGGGGGAAAUUGGCCUACAAGAAGUCAGCAAGUCUCAUUUCUCUUUCAUUACCUGAAGGCUGGCAAUGGUUGAAUUCUCCCUAGCAAAGUAACUCCUAGAAUUAUAUUUCCUUUUCCAAUUUGUUCAACAUAUCCUUACUAAUGUAAUCAAACUAGCACACUGCAGAUGCCAACCUCUGGAAGGUAACACAUACUAAAAGAGCAAUUUCCAAGAACCUUGUUAAUCCACUUCUUUUGCACCAAACACUCUGCAAAUGGAGCUAACACCCCAAGUAUUUUUUAUUGAUAAGAACAAUUUAUGAUCGAUACAAGACAACCUCUGGACAGUAACACCUACUAAAAUAUCAAUUUCCUAGAUCACUGCUAAUCCGCUUCUUUUGCACCAAACACCCUGCAUAUGGAGCUAACAAUCAAGUACUUUUGAUUGAUAAGAACAUUUUAUGCACUGAACACUCAAUAUGACCCAACCCAAAAAAUGAGAGGAUCGCACCCUCCGGAAAUUUAUGAUCCCGACAUCUGUAACGCACAGAGCACAAUAAUAAUAUUCAUUGACAAUAACUGAAAAUACAUCCCAUCAAGUGUCAUCAUUAUUACUGGAGUAAACAUCUAACUAUACUUUUAUUAAAUAUCAUAUAACAAUCUUCACCUUGCUAGAAUCGAACACUUCUCAAUCCAUAGUUCCCCAGCUACGGAUCAUCUGAAAUAUGUAAUUUUCAGAUCGAUAGGGAUUAUCUUAGUAGAAACAAGAUGUCAAGAAAUCUAGUUGUCUCAUGCAAUCAGCAAAAGAUAAGAAUAAUAAUGAAAAAAGAGUAUAACUUAGAAUAAAAGAUCUCACAAAUUCAUCAUGAGAAAAGCACAUCCAUUAGUGCACUUUGCUGCAUCGGAACUCGUCCGACUGCUCAGGAUGAAGCAACCUCCUUAUAGACUAAAUUCAUAUCACAUUCCCUGCUAUUAGUCCAUUACUAGGAUCAAGUGGUGCCCGGCAACAGUAGAAAUACGUCUUUCUAUGGAUGCAAGGAAUAUCUUAUAAGCUUCUAUGACGACUACUAAUCCCUUUCAAAAUUGCCUACUAAUCAUGACAAUGUUGUUCAAUCAUCCAUAUAUGUAUAUAUCAACAUGCUGCACAACCAUGCAACAACAUCCUUUCACAUGCUCAAGCGUCCAACUUAUGCAUCAUGGCACUUCUAACAAAUAUUAAUUAUAGGCUACAAUAGAGGCAUCAAUAUAAAAUUGAUUGCCAAAAGAAAUAUGAUCUAAUAACAGCAUAUUAAAAUUUCAUCAUGUCAGCAUAAAGAGAAUCUAGGUUUUAUGAGGCACCUAACACUAUAUUGAUCAUCCAAAUUGGAUACAGAGUCCAAAAAAGUUAUUAUUGAUUUACAAUUCAGUCCUCAAAAUUUACAAUCAUUUCUUCAAUACAUUGCAAACCAGUCCCUAGCAGUCUUAAUGGGCAGGACCUUAGGCAGCCACGUGGAACUUGGUCUCACAGGCAGGACCACAUGGAGUUGGCCUGUCUGAGCUGAAGUGCAUGAAGUUUAGACCACCCCCGUACUCAAAUGCUUAAAUUGGUAAAGGACAACUUGUACAUUCCAGUGCUUAAAUUGAGAACAAAACAUUGGCAAUACGGAAAGUGUGGUUUCCUUCAUAAAUCUAAGAGUUUCAACUUCAUUCUCAAGAAGACGGUCAGCUUCAAACUAUCAUGGUGGAAACCUGGUAUUCAUUAAGGUUUUGCAUUUAUAAAGAGAGAAAUUUCAACUGAAUUGACCGAUCAGCAAGAAGAAAGAAGUGGUUCAAACUAAUCACUUAAGAAAGAGAACAAAAUUUGAUAAACAAAAUAUACAAAAAAUUGAAACCCAACCUCAUUUCCCUUUUUUGGGUUUCGGGUUUGGUUUUGGAAUGGAGGGACUUUAGUAAAUUUAUAUAAAAGGUGACCAACCCUUGCCCUAAAUCAAAAGCCUCAUCAUCCAGCUCAAAAUCACCAAAGCAUCCAACCAUACCAUCCAAAAGAAUCCUACUUCUUAUCAUUUGAAAAAAUUAACCAAAACUCGAAACCUAAAUUACCAAAUAUCCGAAGUCAAAUCAAUUCAAAACUUCAGGUGUCCAAUAACCUACAUAAGUCUGAUAUCUUCCAGUAGACUUAAAACAAAUAGGACAAGAAUAACAAUUCUAUGUGGCGUCUACACAAGUGAUUAUAAACAAGCAAUUAACUCUAUCGGCAAUUUCAUCACAAAUCUUCUCAACAUUCUUCAUUUUCUUACUACGUGUAAGCAUCCAAACUCAUAUUACAUUCACAGAAACGAAGUAAAUGGCAGGAAUUAUUUGGUCGCAAACUGUAGAUCAUGUUAUGCGGAUAGUGGAAAAUUGGAACCUGGAAACAUAACUUGCUGGUACAAAAGCUUGUGCUAUGCAUUAUGCAUUUCCACGAUCAAAUGCAGUGAUGUUUUUGGGGACUCCAUUAUACAACUCAAUGAGUUCUGGAUACUCCUUGUAGCGGUUGACGAACUUCUCCACAAAUUUCUUCUCUGAAUAUUUCACGUAUGUAGACAUACUAAGGUUACUGAUGCAAACUCCCCUAGACUUCAGGCCUGUCACAAUCUGAUGCCUUGGCAUCAACCUUUUCUCCAAACUGCACAACAAAAUAUCUGGCCGAAGUGCAAUAUGAGAUGGAGCACAUCCGGCUUCAUUUACCAAGAACUCCAACUUCCUCUGCAAACUCUUUAAAGAAAUUUGCACAAACGUAGGAGCCUUUCUGAAUGCAGCAAGGAAAUCAUCCUCGGACCACCCGAAGCCCUCGAAGAACUCCAAGUGAGCCUUGAAGUUAUUCUCGGAGACGUUGUGGAGCACAGUCAGGGUCAAGGGGAACAUCCCUGAGGUGCAAGCUACUCCCAAACCCUCGGCACGACUGAUUAACGCCUUCAGGGUUUCAGCAUUCCGGGUUAUGAGGAGAGGAUAUUGCCUUAGGAUCAUUGAGAGCUUCUGAUCCGUCAUCCCGCAAUCCCUUAGAAUUUCAAUGUUAGGCUGGAUCGUCUUCUCGAUGCUAUACCCGAGAAACCUCCUGUUUUUCUUGCACAAGUUCAUCAGUAAGUCGUUGGACCCGAGGAGGCCUUGCCAUAAUUGGAUCUUGGACAAGAUGGUCUGGGAUUUGUCGCUGAUGACGUCGUUAUUCGAUCUGACGAGGUGGGUGAUGUCGGAGCAGGAGAAGCCCAGAUCCUGCAAAGCUCGGAACUUUGGGGCCAGGGUCUUCUCCACGUCGAGGAGAAGCCACCGGGGGUUUGCAGAUAUGACCUUUUUCACCUGGGUGUUGUCAAAACCGUAGCUUUUAAAAAAGCCAAGGACGGAGUCAGGCUGGUGGCGGGAUUCGACGCGACCAAGGAGCUUCGAGGCUUUGGCCGCCUGAUCAGGAUGGAAGCCACAGUAGCUGACCAGGUAUUCAGCCAUAAGGCUGCUCUCUGGAGCACCGGAGGCGGCGGAAUAAGAAUGGGUUGCGAGAAAAAGGGCAGCAUCGGCCGGACGACAGCAAGGGACGAAUGCAAGGGCUUUGGACAAGAGAGAGACGUAGGGCGACCUAUUCAUCAAUGUCAUCGUCUUCUUCUUCUUCUUCUUCUUCUUUGUAGGUUCCUUCUCUUUACCAAAACCUAGCGAAGGUGGCGUAGCUGCGUAUAGAGGAGCGCGUUUUGGCCGGAAGUACCUGCGUCUUAAACCCUAGAAGUGCGUUACCGUGUUCGACAUUUUUUUUUUCUGGCGGAGAUUACUGCGACCGCAGGAGUCUUUUUUUUCUUUGUCAACUUUUAGUUUGUUGAGGGGAGAAACAACUUUUAUUGCGUGCCAACUAAAGAUAAUAAAAGGUGUUCUUUUAGAAAAAAUUUGCACUAUUAUUUUUUUAUCUAGGGUUUAUUUUUUAUAGUUAGAACAAAAAUAUACCCUUAAUCUUCUAUUAAAAAUGACUUGAUCAGCUAUUAAAAAAUUGAUAUCAAAAAUUUUUAAAAAAAUAUAAAAAGCUAUGCUAAUCAUUUUAAAAUCAAUAGAUAUGCAUCGAAGAUGAUUAAUAUCUAUUUUUAUUUUAAAAAUUUUUAUAAUUAAUUAUCAAAUUAUAAUUUAUUUAAAUAAUAUCUAUGAUUAAGUCACAUAAGUUAAAAUAUAAGAGUGUUUUUUGUCUAAAUAAAAAUACCUAAAUAAAAAUGAAUAUGGAGGGUUUCAUCGAUAAGAAAACUAAUACUAUAAAUUAUUUUUUUAUAAAAGACCCGACAUACAUGAAUGAAUGCUAGAAAACAACUAAUCCAUCAUAAAAUUUGAUGAACUAAUACAUAUGUAUUCUAAUUAUCAAGUUAAAGUCAACAAUAAAAAAUUCAUGUAAUCUUUAAUGCCAUCAUAACCAUCAACUAUUUAUGAUGUGAAUGGCAAAACCGCUCAUUGUUCACUUAAGAAUCUACUCAUUAGAUUUUCACUAGAUAGAGAACAGACAACAACUCGUAAACAUGUCAACUAUCUUACUAGAAACAUACACUAUCUAUGAAACAAUGCCCAAGGCAACUUCUAUCUAGAAAUUAAUAAUAAUUAGAUGAUCAUGUUCACACUCAAAAUAGAAAGUCAUUCAUCCUAUAAUCAUUAACUUAUUAUAUCCAUACCAAGAUUAAGAAAGUAUCCCGAUGAUUAACAUUGAUUUAGAUUCGAUUAUAUUUGAUUUAACAUAUUGACAAAUAUUGUAAUUGGUAUAUAUAUCCUUCGACGGAAUCAAAUAAUUUGGGUAAUAUAUCUCACGGCUAAUUCUCACUCUUUAUUAUUUUUCAAUAUCGAAAAAUUAUUCUGUCAGUUUAAGGGAUAUAUACUUGAUCUAGCUAGCUCUUUAUACAAAGUAACUCAAAAUCUCUUUUCAAUUUAUCAUCUCAAAAUUAUUAGAAUACAUGACUCUUUAUAAUUGAAUAAGAUAUAUAAUAAAAUUAAUUAGAUUUUAAUGACGAAUAUUAGUCAAUAGAAAGAAAUAUCAAAAUAUGUGCCAAGUGAGAGAAUAUCUUAUAAAUUAAUGGGCUAAGUGAGAGAAUAUCAAAUAUGUGACCCUUUAUAAUUGAAUAAGAUAUAUAAUAAAACUAAUUAGAUUAUGAUAAUGGAUAUUAGCCAAUAGAAAGAAAGUUUAUAUUAUAGUAUGAUUCCUUAGGGGGUGCCCUUGAUGGGAGGAACUCUCUUAAUUAUUUAUCAUAGACUCUCUACUCUCGUCUAUAAAUAGAUGGGACCUCAUAGGGACUAAUGACAUGAUGUUUAUAUGAUGUAAUGGUCAUGAACACAUACACGAGAUACAAUAUGUGACAAUGAGAGAUUACGAUUCCUUUCUCAUCCUCUCUUGUCUCUGAACCAUUAAUAACUAUAAUCUUGUGAAAAGGUAGAAAGAGAUGAGGAGUGUUUAGUUCUCCUUGUAGAUCGACAUUUGAUAUAAACGAUUUUGCCCCACACAAACUCAUCUACCACUAAGGCCAACACCUAUGGAGAGUUUCAGGUCAUUAGCUUCGAAAUGGCACCAUAGUGUCGAUAACCAUCCUACUUUAUUAAGAUCAAAGAAUAAUCAGGUGAUUUUGCUAAUCUUAUCCAAGGCCAACCAAUAAAAGGCCUAGGGAUCAAGUAUAAAAAGGAACUCAUUAACUCACGCUGAGAGGGGGGACUCUCUAUACACUAACCUAGUCAUACAGCUUACACUACUAUCUUUCCCCUUUCACUGACUUAAGCAUCGGAAGGAAUGCGUUGGGCAACCCCUAAUGCUGGCCUAUCAUGCAAGAUUGCUGACGGUCAAGUGAUGAUCGGACCCAAUCCUUGUCAAUAGAACCUCGUAAUCUUUAAUGCCAUCAUAACCAUCAACUAUUUAUGAUGUGAAUGGCAAAACUGCUCAUUGUUCACUUAAGAAUCUACUCAAUAGAUUUUCACUAGAUAGAGAACAGACAACGACUCGUAAACAUGUCAACUAUCUUACUAGAAACAUACACUAUCUAUGAAACAAUGCCCAAGGCAACUUCUAUCUAGAAAUUAAUAAUAAUUAGAUGAUCAUGUUCACACUAAAAAUAGAAAGUCAUUCAUCCUAUUAUCAUUAACUUAUUAUAUCCAUACCAAGAUUAAGAAAGUAUCCUGAUGAUUAACUUUGAUUUAGAAUCGAUUAUAUUUGAUUUAACAUAUUGACAAACAUUGUAAUUGGUAUAUAUAUCCUUCGACGGAAUCAAAUAAUUUGGGUAAUAUAUCUCACGGCUAAUUCUCACUCUUUAUUAUUUUUCAAUAUCGAAAAAUUAUUCUGUCAGUUUAAGGGAUAUAUACUUGAUCUAGCUAGCUCUUUAUACAAAGUAACUCAAAAUCUCUUUUCAAUUUAUCAUCUCAAAAUUAUUAGAAUACAUGACUCUUUAUAAUUGAAUAAGAUAUAUAAUAAAAUUAAUUAGAUUUUGAUGAAAACUAUUAGUCAAUAGAAAGGAAUAUCAAAAUACGUGCUAAGUGGGAGAAUAUCUUAUAAAUUAAUGGGCCGCCUCCGGUGCUCCAGAGAGCAGCCUUAUGGUUAAUAAAAACACUAUACGUGCUAAGUGGGAAAUUCCUAUGAUGGCUAAUAAAAACACUAUAAUAAACUAAUUUUACUCUUAUUUGGAUGAUAUUAUUGUUAAAUUAUUUUAAAUAUAUGAUAUAUCAAAUGGUUUGUAGUAUGUUUGGAUUUCUCAGUUAUAGUAUUUUUUAAAUAACAUUAUAGUGUUUUUAUAAGGUGUAAAGCAAUUGAAAAAUCUUUGAUUAUCGUUGAUCGUAAAUGUGUAGUUAGUUUGACUGAAUCUAUUCGGGUUAUUUAUAAUAUUUUUAUUAUGAUAAUCAAAAUACUAUAAAAAUUAAUUUUUGAUUCUCAUUUUGAUGACCAAACUAUUGUGUAAAUCAUAUAAAUCAGAUCAUGCUACUGUACAAACCAAUCCAUCAACUUGGAUUCAAACACCGAUAUAUCGGUCUAUAAGGUAUCUAUGAAACUAGUGGGAAAAAUAUCAUUGAGGCUGGUAAGAAAUACUUUCAGUAUUAUUCAAAAUAGAAGGUAUCAUUUGAGAAAUAUGAGACAUCUUUUAGGAAAAUAAUAAUAAAAAAAGUGAGACAUCUUCGAAAUCACCCGAAAACUUUUGCUCACUUGUUUACUAGGGUCUUCUAGACUUUGCAGCAUCAAGAGAGUUCCUCUCCUCCGAACUCCUGUUUACCUAACAUCUCUACGAUGAUCAACAUGCGUUAGGGUGCAAGUCAACUAAAACUUCCCUUGAUCCCGAUAACUCAACAAGAGUAAGCAGUGCUUCAGUUUAAUUUGACCAAGUACGUGCCUGCCAGAGACACUGCAGUUAAUUCUACAAGGCCAAUAAUGUAUGAAUACAUAAGAAAAAGCUCAACGCAAAAGAUUGGAAGAUUAUUUUGAUGUAUUUGUACAGAGAAAACAAUACAACAAAGUCUUUAGAAAAGGAACACACCAAAAGAUUAAAAAUAGGACGAAUGGCUGAGACUAGCAUGCUAUACUAUAUAAGAAUCUGGAGAACCAAGGGUGGAAUCAAAUUCGAGAUUACAUGUUGCUAUUAGGCAAUAAAUUUAGAGAUGCUCUAUUGUCACAUUGAAGCACAAGUUUGUAACAUAAAAAACAACCUGCAUAAUUUGACAUAUUAACUAGACUUCCAGAUCAACUUUUUGUUUGAUAGCUAUUACAGCUUUGACAAAAAUAAGACACCGAACAAAGGAUGCAAAAGAAACAUAUAGUAGCAAAAGCCAAAAAAGUUGAAAUGUGGAUUUUCAUAGUACAUAAACCAGUAUAACUACAUAUCAUAAAUAUAACCAAAGAUUCUAACUGUUAGAAAUAUCUUGACUUCAGUCUGAGUGUGGGUAAAAAACAUUUCAAGAAGGCUGAAAUUGGUGUCAUCUGACAGCGGACAAAAUACAUUUUGGGAAGGGAGAAAUUGGCCUACAAGAAGUCAGCAAGUCUCAUUUCUCUUUCAUUACCUGAAGGCCGGCAAUGGUUGAAUUCUCCCUAGCAAAGUAACUCCUAGAAUUAUAUUUCCUUUUCCAAUUUGUUCAACAUAUACUUACUAAUGUAAUCAAACUAGCACACUGCAGAUGCCAACCUCUGGAAGGUAACACAUACUAAAAGAGCAAUUUCCAAGAACCUUGUUAAUCCACUUCUUUUGCACCAAACACUCCGCAAAUGGAGCUAACACCCCAAGUAUUUUUUAUUGAUAAGAACAAUUUAUGAUCGAUACAAGACAACCUCUGGACAGUAACACCUACUAAAAUAUCAAUUUCCAAGAUCACUGCUAAUCCACUUCUUUUGCACCAAACACCCUGUAAAUGGAGCUAACAAUCAAGCACUUUUGAUUGAUAAGAACAUUUUAUGCACCGAACACUCAAUAUGACCCAACCAAAAAAAUGAGAGGAUCGCACCCUCCGUAAACUUAUGAUCCAGACAUCUGUAACGCACAGAGCACAAUAAUAAUAUUCAUUGACAAUAAUGGAAAAUGCAUCCCAUCAAGUCUCAUCAUUAUUACUGGCGUACACAUCUAACUGUGCUUUUAUUAAAUAUCAGAUAACAAUCUUCACAUUGCUAGAACUGAAAAAUUCUCAAUCCUUAGCUACCCAGCUACGGAUCAUCUGAAAUAUGUACUUUUCAGAUCGAUAGGGAUUAUCUUAGUAGAAACAAGACGUCAAGAAAUCUAGUUGUGUCCCACGCAAUCAGCUAAAGAUAAGAAUAAUAAUGAAAAAAGAGCAUAAAUUAGGAUAAAAGAUCUCACAAAUUCAUCAUGAGAAAAGCACAUCCAUCAGUGCACUUUGCUGCAUCGGAACUCGUCCGAGGGAUGAAGCUACCUCCUUAUAGACUAAAUUCAUAUCACAUUACCUGCUAUUAGUCCAUUACUAGGAUCAAGUGGUGCCCGGCAACAGUCGAAAUACGCAUUUCUAUAGAUGCAAGGAAUAUCUUAUAAGCUUGUUUGACGACUACUAAUCCCUUUCAAAAUUGCCUACGAAUAAUGACAAUGUUGUUCAAUCAUCCAUAUAUGUAUAUAUCAACAUGCUGCACAACCAUGCAACAACAACCUUUCACAUACUCAAGCAUCCAACUUAUGCAUCAUGGCACUUCUAACAAAUAUUAAUAUGCGUCAAUUAUAGGCUAAAAUAGACGCAUCAAUAUAAAAUUUAUUGCCAAAAGAAAUAUGAACUAAUAACAGCAUAUUAAAAUUUCAUCACAUCAGCAUACAGAGAAUCUAGGUUUUAUGAGGCACCUAACACUAUAUUGCUCAUCCAAAUUGGAUACAGAGUUCAAAAAAGUUAUUAUCGAUUUACAAUUCAGUCCUUGAAAUUUACAAUCAUUUCUUCAUUACAUUGCAAACCAGUCCCUAGCAGUCUUAAUGGGCAGGCCCUUAGGCAGCCACGUGGAACUUGGUCUCAAAGGCAGGACCACAUGGAGUUGGCCUGUCUGAGCUGAAGUGCAUGAAGUUUAGACCACCCCCGUACUAAAAUGCUUAAAUUGGUAAAGGACAACUUGUACAUUCCAGUGCUUAAAUUGAGAACAAAACAUUGUCAAUACGGAAAGUGUGGUUUCCUUCAUAAAUCUAAGAGUUACAACUUCAUUCUCAAGAAGACAGUCAGCUUCAAACUAUCAUGGUGGCAACCUGGUAUUCAUUAAGGUUUUGCACUUAUAAAGAGAGAAAUUUCAACUGAAUUGACCGAUCAGCAAGAGGAAAGAAGUGGUUCAAACUAAUCACUUAAGAAAGAGAACAAAGUUUGAUAAACAAAAUAUACAAAAAAUUGAAACGCAACCUCAUCUACCUUUUUUGGGUUUUCGGUUUGGUUUAGGAUAUGAGGGACUUUAGUAAAUUUAUAUAAAAGGUGACCAACCCUUGCCCUAAAUCAAAAGCCUCAUCAUCCAGCUCAAAAUCACCAAAGCAUCCUACCAUACCAUCCAAAAGAAUCCUACUUCUUAUCAUUUGAAAAAAUAACCAAAACUCGAAACCUAACUUAGCAAAUAUCCAUAGUUAAAUCAAUCAAAACUUCACGUGUCCAAUAACCUACAUAAGUCUGAUAUCUUCCAGUAGACUUAAAACGAAUGGGACAAGAAUAACAAUUCCAUGUGGCGUCUACACAAGUGAUUAUCAACAAGCAAUUAACUCUAUCGGCAAUAUCAUCACAAAUCUUCUCAACAUUCUUCAUUUUCUUACUACGUGUAAGCAUCCAAACUCAUCUUACAUUCACAGAAAACGAAGUAAAUGGCAGGAAUUAUUUGGUCGCAAACUGUAGAUCAUGUUAUGCGGAUAGUGGAAAAUUGGAACCUGGAAACAUAACUUGCUGGUACAAAAGUUUGUGCUAUGCAUUAUGCAUUUCCACGAUCAAAUGCAGUUCUGUUUUUGGGGACUCCAUUAUACAACUCAAUGAGUUCUGGAUACUCCUUGUAGCGGUUGACGAACUUCUCCACAAAUUUCUUCUCUGGAUAUUUCGCGUAUGUAGACAUACUAAGGUUACUGAUGCAAACUCCCCUAGACUUCAGGCCUGUCACAAUCUGAUGCCUUGGCAUCAACCUUUUCUCCAAACUGCACAACAAAAUAUCUGGCCGAAGAGCAAGAUGAGAUGGAGCACAUCCGGCUUCAUUUACCAAGAACUCCAUCUUCCUCUGCAAACUCUUUAAAGAUAAUCCCACAAGCGUAGGAACCUUUCUGAAUGCAGCAAGGAAAUCAUCCUCGGACCACCCGAAGCCCUUGAAGAACUCCAAGUGAGCCUUGAAGUUCUUCUCGGUGAUUCUCUGGAGCACACACAGGGUAAGGGGGAAGAUCCCUGAGGUGCGAGGUACUCCCAAACCCUCGACACGACUGAUUAACGCCUUCAGGGUUUCAGCAUUCCGGGUUAUAAGGAGGGGGCGGUGCCGUAUGAUCAUUGAGAGCUUCUGAUCCGUGAUCCCGCAAUCCCUUAGAAUUUCAAUGUUAGGCUGGAUCGUCUUCUCGAUGCUAUACCCGAGAAACCUCCUGUUUUUCUUGCACAAGUUUACCAAAAAGUCGUUGGACUCGAGGAGGUCUUGCCAUAAUUGGAUCUUGGACAAGAUGUUCUCGGAUUUGUCGCUGGUGACGUCGUUAUUCGAUCUGACGAGGUGGGUGAUGUCGGAGCAGGAGAAGCCCAGAUCCUGCAAAGCUCGGAACUUUGGAGCCAGGGUCUUCUCCACGUCGAGGAGAAGCCACCGGGGGUUUGCAGAUAUGACCUUUUUCACCUGGGUGUUGUCAAAACCGUAGCUUUUAAAUAAGCCAAGGACGGAGUCAGGCUGGUGGCGGGAUUCGACGCCGCCAAGGAGCUUCGAGGCUUUGGCCGCCUGAUCUGGAUCGAAGCCACAGGAGCUGACCAGGUAUUCAGCCAUAAGGCUGCUCUGUGGAGCACCGGAGGUGGCGGAGUAAGAAUGGGUUGCGAGAAAAAGGGCAGCAUCGGCCGGACGACAGCAAGGGACGAAGGCAAGGGCUUUGGACAAGAGAGAGACGUAGGGCGACCUAUUCAUCAAUGUCAUCGUCUUCUUCUUCUUCUUCGUAGGUUCCUUCUCUUUACCAAAACCUAGCGAAGGUGGCGUAGUUGCGUAUAGAGGAGCGCGAUUAGGCCGGAAGUACCUGCGUCUUAAACCCUAGAAGUGCGUUACCGUGUUCGACAUUUUUCUGGUUGGCUAGUUAUUCCCUAGUCAUUUUACUGGUUAGCCUUGGAUAAGAUUAGUUAAAUCACUUGAUCAUUUUUUGAUCUUAAUAAGGUAGGGUGGUUAUCAGAAUACACUAUGGUGCCAUUUCGGAGCUGGUGAUCUGGAACUCUCCAUAGGUGUCGGCCUUGUGACAGAUGAGUUGGCGUAGGGCAAAAUCGUCUCUAUCAAAUGUCGAUAUACAAGGAGAACCAAACAUUCAUCUCUUUCUACCUUUUCACAAGACUAUAGUUAUUAAUGUUUCAGAGACAAGAGAGGAUGAAAAAAGAAUCGUAAUCUCUCAAUGUCACAUAUAGUAUCUCGUGUAUGUGUCCACGUGUAUGUGUCCAUGACCGUCACAUCAUAUAAACAUCAUGUCAUUAGCCCCUAGGAGGUCCGAUAUAUUUAUAGGUGAGAGUUGAGGAUCAAUGAUAAGUAAUUAGGAGAGUUUCUCCUAUCAAGAGCGUCCCUUAAGAAAUCAUACUAUAAUCUGAAUAUCCUUUAUACUGGCUAAUAUCCGUUAUCAGAAUUCAAUCAAUUUUAUUAUAUAUCUUAUUCAAUUAUAAAGGGUCACAUAUUUUGAUAUUCUCCUACUUAGCUCAUAUAUUCUCUAUCUUUGCCCAUAGUUUGAUAUUCCUUUUUAUAGAUUAAUAUUCGUAAUCAAAAUCUAAUUAAUUUUAUUAUAUAUCUUAUUCAAUUAUAAAGAGUCCUGUAUUCUAACAAUUUUGAUAUGACAAAUUGAAAAGAUGUUUUGAGUUACUUUGCAUAAAGAGCUAGCUAGAUCAAGUAUAAAUCCCUUAAUAUGAGAGAAUAAUUCUCCAAUACUGAAAAAUAAUAAAGAGUGAGAAGAAACCUUUAUAAAGGUGAGAUAUAUUACUCAAACUAUUUAAUUCCGUAAAAGGAUAUUUAUACUAAUUAUAAUGCUUGUCAAUAUGUUAAUCAAAUAUAAUCAAUUCUAAAUCAGGAUGCACCUUCUUAAUCUUAGUAUGGAUAUAAUAAGUUAAUAAUUGUGAGAUGAAUGACUUUCUAUUUUUAUGGUGAACAUGAUCAUCUAAUUACUAUUAAUUUCUAGAUAGAAGUUGCUUGAGGCUUUGUUUCAUAGAUAGCAUAUGUUUGUAGCAAUUCUAAGUAGCAAGAUAGUUGACGUGUUUGCGAGUCUCUAUCAGUUCCCUAUUUGAUAAAAAUCUAUUGAGUAGAUUCUCAAGUGAACAAUGAGCAAUUUUGCCAUUCAUAUCAUAAAUAGUUGAUGCUUAUGAUGAUAUUUAAGAUUACAUGAACAUUUUAUUGUUGACUUAAACUUGAUAAUUAGAGUAGCAUAGGUAUUAAUCCAUCAAAUUUUAUGAUGAAUAAGUUGAUUUCUAGCAGUAAUUCAUGCAUGUUGGGUCUUUUAUAAAAGAAAAAAUUCUAGUAUUAUUUUUUUUUAUUGAUGAAACCUUCCAUAUUCAUUUUUACUUAGGUUUUUUUUAUUUAGACAAAAAACACUCUUAUAUUUUUUGCUUAUGUGACUUAAUCAUAGAUAUUAUUUAAAUAAAUUAUAAUUUGAUAAUUAAUUAUAAAAAAAACUAAAAUAAAAAAUAGAUAUUAAUCAUCUUCGAUGCAUAUCUAUUGAUUUUAAAAUGAUUAGCAUAGUUCUUUUUUUUUUUUUUUUUAAUUAUGAUAAUUAAUUAUCAAUUUUUUAAUAGCUGAUCAAGUCAUUUUUAAUAGAAGAUUAAGGGUAUAUUUUUGUUCAUACUAUAAAAAAUAAACCCUAGAUAAAAAUAAAUAUAGGGAUGCUAUCCGAUAAAAAAAUAAUAGUGCAAUUUUUUUCUAAGAGAACACCUUUUAUUAUCUUUAGUUGGCACGCAAUAAAAGUUUUUUCUCCCCUCAACAAACUAAAAGUUGACGAAGCAAAAAAAAAGACGCCUGCGGUCGCAGUAAUCUCCGCCCGAAAAAAAAUUCUCGAACACGGUAACGCACUUAUAGGGUUUAAGACGCAGGUACUUCCGGCCUAAACGCGCUCUUCUAUACGCAGCUACGCCACCUUCGCUAGGUUUUGGGAAAGCGAAGGAACCUACAAAGAAGAAGAAGAAGACGAUGACAUUGAUGAAUAGGUCGCCCUACGUCUCUCUCUUGUCCAAAGCCCAUGCCUUCGUCCCUUGCUGUCGUCCGGCCGAUGCUGCCCAUUUUCUCGCAACCCAUUCUUACUCCGCCGCCUCCGGUGCUCCACAGAGCAGCCUUAUGGCUGAAUACCUGGUCAGCUCCUGUGGCUUCGAUCCUGAUCAGGCGGCCAAAGCCUCGAAGCUCCUUGGCCACGUCGAAUCCCGCCACCAGCCUGACUCCGUCCUUGGCUUAUUUAAAAGCUACGGUUUUGACAACACCCAGGUGAAAAAGGUCAUAUCUACAAACCCCCGGUGGCUUCUCCUCGACGUGGAGAAGACCCUGGCCCCAAAGUUCCGAGCUUUGCAGGAUCUGGGCUUCUCCUGCUCCGACAUCACCCACCUCGUCAGAUCGAAUAACCACGUCAUCAGCCACAAAUCCCAGAACAUCUUGUCCAAGAUCCAAUUAUGGCAAGGCCUCCUGGGGUCCAACGACUUACUGAUGAAGAUAUGGAAGAGAAACAGGUGGUUUCUCGGGUAUAGCUUCGAGAAGACGAUCCAGCCUAGCAUUGAAAUUCUAAGGGAUUGCGGGAUCACGGAUCAGAAGCUCUCAAUGAUCAUACCGCAAUAUCCCCUCCUUAUAACCCGGAAUGCUGAAACCCUGAAGGCGUUAAUCAGUCGUGUCGAGGGUUUGGGAGUACCUCGCACCUCGAGGAUGUUCCUCCUGAUCCUGAGUGUGCUCCUGAGCGUCUCCGAGAAGAACUUCAAGGCUCACUUGGAGUUCUUCAAGGGCUUCGGGUGGUCCGAGGAUGAUUUCCUUGCUGCAUUCAGAAAGGCUCCUACGUUUGUGCAAUUAUCUUUAAAGAGUUUGCAGAGGAAGAUGGAGUUCUUGGUAAAUGAAGCAGGAUGUGCUCCAUCUCAUCUUGCACUUCGGCCAGAUAUUUUGUUGUGCAGUUUGGAGAAAAGGUUGAUGCCAAGGCAUCAGAUUGUGACAGGCCUGAAGUCUAGGGGAGUUUGCAUCAGUAACCUUAAUAUGUCUACAUACAUGAAAUAUCCAAAGAAGAAAUUUGNNNNNNNNNNNNNNNNNNNNNNNNNNNNNNNNNNNNNNNNNNNNNNNNNNNNNNNNNNNNNNNNNNNNNNNNNNNNNNNNNNNNNNNNNNNNNNNNNNNNNNNNNNNNNNNNNNNNNNNNNNNNNNNNNNNNNNNNNNNNNNNNNNNNNNNNNNNNNNNNNNNNNNNNNNNNNNNUGGAGUUCUUGGUAAAUGAAGCAGGAUGUGCUCCAUCUCAUCUUGCACUUCGGCCAGAUAUUUUGUUGUGCAGUUUGGAGAAAAGGUUGAUGCCAAGGCAUCAGAUUGUGACAGGCCUGAAGUCUAGGGGAGUUUGCAUCAGUAACCUUAAUAUGUCUACAUACAUGAAAUAUCCAAAGAAGAAAUUUGUGGAGAAGUUCGUCAACUGCUACAAGGAGUAUCCAGAACUCGUUGAGUUGUAUAAUGGAGUCCCCAAAAACAGAACUGCAUUUGAUCGUGGAAAUGCAUAAUGCAUAGCACAAGCUUUUGUACCAGCAAGUUAUGUUUCCAGGUUCCAAUUUUCCACUAUCCGCAUAACAUGAACUACAGUUUGCAACCAAAUAAUUCCUGCCAUUUACUUCGUUUUCUGUGAAUGUAAGAUGAGUUUGGAUGCUUACAUGUAGUAAGAAAAUGAAGAAUGUUGAGAAGAUUUGUGAUGAUAUUGCUGAUAGAGUUAAUUGCUUGUUGAUAAUCACUUGUGUAGACGCCACAUGGAAUUGUUAUUCUUGUCCCAUUCGUUUUAAGUCUACUGGAAGAUAUCAGACUUAUGUAGGUUAUUGGACACGUGAAGUUUUGAAUUGAUUUAACUAUGGAUAUUUGGUAAUUUAGGUUUCGAGUUUUGGUUAUUUUUUCAAAUGAUAAGAAGUAGGAUUCUUUUGGAUGGUAUGGUAGGAUGCUUUGGUGAUUUUGAGCUGGAUGAUGAGGCUUUUGAUUUAGGGCAAGGGUUGGUCACCUUUUAUAUAAAUUUACUAAAGUCCCUCCUAUCCAAAACCAAACCCAAAACCCAAAAAAGGGAGAUGAGGUUGCGUUUCAAUUUUUUGUAUAUUUUGUUUAUCAAACUUUGUUCUCUUUCUUAAGUGAUUAGUGUGAACCACUUCUUUCCUCUUGCUGAUCGGUCAAUUCAGUUGAAAUUUCUCUCUUUAUAAAUGCAAAACCUUAAUGAAUACCAGGUUGCCACCAUGAUAGUUUGAAGCUGACUGUCUUCUUGAGAAUGAAGUUGUAACUCUUAAAUUUAUGAAGGAAACCACACUUUCCGUAUUGACAAUGUUUUGUUCACAAUUUAAGCACUGGAAUAUACAAGUUGUCCUUUACCAAUUUAAGCAUUUGAGUACGGGGGUGGUCUAAACUUCAUGCACUUCAGCUCAGACUGGCCAACUCCAUGUGGUCCUGCCUCUGAGACCAAGUUCCACGUGGCUGCCUAAGGUCCUGCCCAUUAAGACUGCUAGGGACUGGUUUGCAAUGUAAUGAAGAAAUGAUUGUAAAUUUCAAGGACUGAAUUGUAAAUCGAUAAUAACUUUUUUGAACUCUGUAUCCAAUUUGGAUGAGCAAUAUAGUGUUAGGUGCCUCAUAAAACCUAGACUCUCUUUAUGCUGACAUGAUGAAAUUUUAAUAUGCUGUUAUUAGUUCAUAUUUCUUUUGGCAAUCAAUUUUAUAUUGAUGCGUCUAUUAUAGCCUAUAAUUGACGCAUAUUAAUAUUUGUUAGAAGUUCCAUGAUGCAUAAGCUGGACGCUUGAGCAUGUGAAAGGAUGUUGUUGCAUGGUUGUGCAGCAUGUUGAUAUACACAUAUAUGGAUGAUUGAACAACAUUGUCAUUAUUUGUAGGCAAUUUUGAAAGGGAUUAUCAGUUGUCAAAAAAGCUUAUAAGAUAUUCCUUGCAACUAUAGAAAGACAUAUUUCUACUGUUUCCCGGCACCACUUGAUCCUAGUAAUGGACUAAUAGCAGGGAAUGUGAUAUGAAUUUAGUCUAUAAGGAGGUUGCUUCAUCCUGAGCAGUCGGACGAGUUCCGAUGCAGCAAAGUGCAUUGAUGGAUGUGCUUUUCUCAUGAUGAAUUUGUGAGAUCUUUUAUUCUAAUUUAUUCUAUUUUUCAUUAUUAUUCUUAUCUUUAGUUGAUUGCAUGAGACACAACUAUAUUUCUUGACGUCUUGUUUCUACUAAGAUAAUCCCUAUCGAUCUGAAAAUUACAUAUUUCAGAUGAUCCAUAGCUGGGGAGCUAAGGAUUGAGAAGUGUUCGGUUCUAGCAAUGUGAAGAUUGUUAUCUGAUAUUUAAUAAAAGUACAGUUAGAUGUGUACGCCAGUAAUAAUGAUGAGACUUGAUGGGAUCCAUUUUCCAUUAUUGUCAAUGAAUAUUAUUAUUGUGCUCUGUGCAUUACAGAUGUCUGGAUCAUGAGUUUACGGAGGGUGUGAUCCUCUCAUUUUUUGGGUUGGGUCAUAUUGAGUGUUCGGUGCAUAAAAUGUUCUUAUCAAUCAAAAGUACUUGAUUGUUAGCUCCAUUUACAGGGUGUUUGGUGCAAAAGAAGUGGAUUAGCAGUGAUCUCGGAAAUUGCUAUUUUAGUAGGUGUUACUGUCCAGAGGUUGUGUUGUAUCGAUCAUAAAUUGUUCUUAUCAAUAAAAAAUACUUGGGGUGUUAGCUCCAUUUGCGGAGUGUUUGGUGCAAAAGAAGUGGAUUAACAAGGUUCUUGAAAAUUGAUCUUUUAGUAUGUGUUACCUUCCAGAGGUUGGCAUCUGCAGUGUGCUAGUUUGAUUACAUUAGUAAGGAUAUGUUGAACAAAUUGGAAAAGGAAAUAUAAUUCUAGGAGUUACUUUGCUAGGGAGAAUUCAACCAUUGCCUGCCUUCAGGUAAUGAAAGAGAAAUGAGACUUGCUGACUUCUUGUAGGCCAAUUUCUCCCUUCCCAAAAUGUAUUCUGUCCGCUGUCAGAUGACACCAAUUUCAGCCUUCCUGAAAUGUGUUUUACCCACAGUCAGACUGAAGUCAAGAUAUUUCUAACAGUUAGAAUCUUUGGUUAUAUUUAUGAUAUGUAGUUAUACUGGUUUAUGUACUAUGAAAAUCCACAUUUCAACUUUUUUGGCUUUUGCUACUAUAUGUUUCUUUUGCAUCCUUUGUUUGGUGUCUUAUUUUUGUCAAAGCUGUAAUAGCUAUCAAACAAAAAGUUGAUCUGGAAGUCUAGUUAAUAUGUCAAAUUAUGCAGGUUGUUUUUAUGUUACAAACUUGUGCUUCAAUGUGACAAUAGAGCAUCUCUAAAUUUAUUGCCUAAUGGCAACAUGUAAUCUCAAAUUUGAUUCCAGCCCUUGGUUCUCCAGAUUCAUAUAUGCUAUUCUGUUGUAGUAUAGCAUGAUAGUCUCAGCCAUUCGUCCGAUUUUUAAUAUUUUGGUGUGUUCCUUUUCUUAAGACUGUUGUUUUGUUGUCUCUGGACAAAUACGUCAAUAUAACUUCCCUGAGGUAUUGUAGCAUGCUAAUCUCCAGUAAAUGUUGUAUGUGUCCUAGUUCCAAUCUUUUGCAUUGUGCUUUUUCUUAGGUAUUCAUACAUUAUUGGCCUUUUAGAAUUAACAGCAGUGUAUCUGGCAGGUAGGUACUUGGUUAAAUUAAACUGAAGCACUGCUUACUCUUGUUGAGUUAUCAGGAUCAAGAGAAGUUUUAGAUGACUUGCACCCUAUGGCAUGUUGAUCAUCGUAGAGAUGUUUUCCUGACAAAGGCUUGACUCGUUAUCAGCGAAGAAUUAUACAUGUACUGUACUGCCUCAGAACUAGCUGCUGGAUAGGGUCAGUGAGAGAAUAUCAAAUAUGUGACCCUUUAUAAUUAAAUAAAAUAUAUAAUAAAAUUGAUUAGAUUCUGAUAACGGAUAUUAGUUAAUAAAAAAAAAGUUUAUAUUAUAAUAGGAUUUCUUAGGGUGUAUCCUUGAUGGGAGGAACUCUCCUAAUUAUUUAUCAUAGACUUUCUACUCUCGUCUAUAAAUGGAUAGGACCUCAUAGAGACUAAUGACAUGAUAUUUAUGUGAUGUAACGGUCAUGAACACAUACACGAGAUACGAUAGGUGACAUUAAGAGGUUACGAUUCCGAGAUACGAUAGGUGACAUUAAGAGGUUACGAUUCCUUUCUAAUUCUCUCUUGUCUCUGAACCAUUAAUAACUAUAGUCUUGUGAAAAGGUAGAAAGAGAUGAAGAGUGUUUAGUUCUCCUUGUAGAUCAGUUUUGCUGACAAACAAAUUCCUUGAUUUGUGCGCUGUAGUAGUAGGGUCAUUUAGACUUUGCAGCAUCAGAGAGUUCUCUUCCCAACUCCUGUUUACUUAACAAUGAGCAUGAAUAUACGCCUAUGACAAAAAAUUCCAUUUGGUGCCUUCAAAAUAUUGCUGCAGAAACUAAAUCCGGUGAAGAAAUGAAUGCCAUUUGCCCUUCACUUGCAUCUCAUAGGAGCAAAAGAAGGGGAAAAUAAUCUGGGCAUAAAAUCUAGUUAGCUAGAAUUUGGAUGCUUUCAUCUCAAGAAAUCUCUCUUUUUAUCUUUUCUUAAAGAUCAGUAGAUUCAAUGUACAGGGCAUUGCAGUUUUCUUCCUGUUUCUUCCUUUCUUUCUUUUCUUUUGGAAAAACAAAAGGAUGAUGAGAAUAUGCACAUUUUGGUUAUAUAAUAUCAACAAUGAUGAGAAUAAGAACAAUGAUAUGAAAGCAGACAGGACCAAUAAAUAAGUUUUCAGAAAUAACAACUGAUAAGUCGUCAAAUGAACACCUGUGCUGUGUACAUCAGUCUUCAGAGUUUAAAUUCCACAUCAUACUUCACUUGAUCAACAUCAAUAUGGUGGAAACAAAUUUAAAAGAAAGUUCAGUUUGAUAUGAUGUAAAACAAGAUAUCUCAUUAUUGGUUUGAUCUAAUUACAAAAAGUUAUGCUCAUAUCUAUAUCAUUUCUUAGUCUAGAGUAUAUUUGAACACACAACAAUAACAAUAAUUGCAAGCCAUAAUGAGCAGAUUCAACAUCUCACCUAUCAGAAAUCUUAAAUCGGGAAGCAGGGAUGAUACCGCAUUACCAACAAAACCUGAUAAUAACGAGAAAAAUAAAUUGAUCUUGUUUAGCGAACAAUUUUAGAGGGCAUAAAAACCUAGAACAUAUAUAGUUCUACAAGUUGAAAGGAUCUCAGUCCUUUUAGAGACAAAAUCCCCCACAAAAAGUAUCAACCCUUGCAAAGAGCAUCAGUCUUUUCCUACUGAAAGAACCUGACCCUAUCCAGCAGCUAGUUCUGAGGCAGUACAGUACAUGUAUAAUUCUUCACUGAUAACGGGUCAAGCCUUUGUCAGGAAAACAUCUCUACGAUGAUCAACAUGCGAUAGGGUGCAAGUCAUCUAAAACAUCUCUCGAUCCUGAUAACUCAACAAGAGUAAGCAGUGCUUCAGUUUAAUUUAACCAAGUACCUACCUGCCAGAUACACUGCUGUUAAUUCUCAAAGGCCAAUAAUGUAUGAAUACCUAAGAAAAAGCACAAUGCAAAAGAUUGGAACUAGGACACAUACAACAUUUACUGGAGAUUAGCAUUCUACAAUACCUCAGGGAAGAUUAUUUUAACGUAUUUGUCCAGAGACAACAAUACAAUAAAGUCUUAAGAAAAGGAACACACCAAAAGAUUAAAAAUUGGACGAAUGGCUGAGACUAGCAUGCUAUACUACAACAGAAUAGCAUAUAUAAGAAUCUGGAGAACCAAGGGCUGGAAUCAAAUUCGAGAUUACAUGUUGCCAUUAGGCAAUAAAUUUAGAGAUGCUCUAUUGUCACAUUGAAGCACAAGUCUCAUUUCUCUUUCAUUACCUGAAGGCAGGCAAUGGUUGAAUUCACCCUAGCAAAGUAACUCCUAGAAUUAUAUUUCCUUUUCCAAUUUGUUCAACAUAUCCUUACUAAUGUAAUCAAACUAGCACACUGCAGAUGGCAACCUCUGGAUGUUAACACAUACUAAAAGAGCAAUUUCCAAGAACCUUGUUAAUCCACUUCUUUUGCACCAAACACUCCGCAAAAGGAGCUAACACCCCAAGUAUUUUUUAUUGAUAAGAACAAUUUAUGAUCGAUACAACACAACCUCUGGACAGUAACACCUACUAAAAUAGCAAUUUCCGAGAUCACUGCGAAUCCACUUCUUUUGCACCAAACACCCUGCAAAUGGAGCUAGCAAUCAAGUACUUUUGAUUGAUAAGAACAUUUUAUGCACCGAACACUCAAUACGACCCAAUCCAUAAAAUGAGAGGAUCACACCCUCCAUAAACUUAUAAGCCAGACAUCUGUAACGCACAGAGCACAAUAAUAAUAUUCAUUGACAAUAACUGAAAAUACAUCCCAUCAAGUGUCAUCAUUAUUACUGGAGUAAACAUCUAACUAUACUUUUAUUAAAUAUCAUAUAACAAUCUUCACCUUGCUAGAACCGAACACUUCUCAAUCCUUAGUUCCCCAGCUACGGAUCAUCUGAAAUAUGUAAUUUUCAGAUCGAUAGGGAUUAUCUUAGUAGAAACAAGAUAUCAAGAAAUCUAGUUGUGUCUCAUGCAAUCAGCAAAAGAUAAGAAUAAUAAUAAAAAAAGAGCAUAACUUAGAAUAAAAGAUCUCACAAAUUCAUCAUGAGAAAAGCACAUCCAUUAGUGCACUUUGUUGCAUUGGAACUCGUCCGACUGCUCAGGAUGAAGCAACCUCCUUAUAGACUAAAUUCAUAUCACAUUCCCUGCUAUUAGUCCAUUACUAGGAUCAAGUGGUGCCCGGCAACAGUAGAAAUACGUCUUUCUAUAGAUGCAAGGAAUAUCUUAUAAGCUUGUUUGACGAAUACUAAUCCCUUUCAAAAUUGCCUACUAAUAAUGACAAUGUUGUUCAAUCAUCCAUAUAUGUAUAUAUCAACAUGCUGCACAACCAUGCAACAACAUCCUUUCACAUGCUCAAGCAUCCAACUUAUGCAUCAUGGCACUUCUAACAAAUAUUAAUAUGCGUCAAUUAUAGGCUACAAUAGACGCAUCAAUAUAAAAUUGAUUGCCAAAAGAAAUAUGAACUAAUAACAGCAUAUUAAAAUUUCAUCAUGUCAGCAUAAAGAGAAUCUAGGUUUUAUGAGGCACCUAACACUAUAUUGAUCAUCCAAAUUGGAUACAGAGUCCAAAAAAGUUAUUAUCGAUUUACAAUUCAGUCCUUGAAAUUUACAAUCAUUUCUUCAUUACAUUGCAAACCAGUCCCUAGCAGUCUUAAUGGGCAGGACCUUAUGCAGCCACGUGGAACUUGGUCGCUCAGGCCGGACCACAUGGAGUUGGCCAGUCUGAGCUGAAGUGCAUGAAGUUUAGACCACCCCCGUAUUCAAAUGCUUAAAUUGGUAAAGGACAACUUGUAUAUUCCAGUGCUUAAAUUGAGAACAAAACAUUGUCAAUACGGAAAGUGUGGUUUCCUUCAUAAAUUUAAGAGUUACAACUUCAUUCUCAAGAAGACAGUCAGCUUCAAACUAUCAUGGUGGCAACCAGGUAUUCAUUAAGGUUUUGCAUUUAUAAAGAGAGAAAUUUCAACUGAAUUGACCGAUCAGCAAGAGGAAAGAAGUGGUUCAAACUAAUCACUUAAGAAAGAGAACAAAAUUUGAUAAACAAAAUAUACAAAAAAUUGAAACCCAACCUCAUUUCCCUUUUUUGGGUUUUGGGUUUGGAUUUGGAUAGGAGAGGCUUUAAUAAAUUUAUAUAAAAGAUGACCAACCCUUGCCCUAAAUCAAAAGCCUCAUCAUCCAGCUCAAAAUCACCAAAGCAUCCUACCGUACCAUCCAAAAGAAUCCUACUUCUUAUCAUUUGAAAAAUUAACCAAAACUCGAAACCAAAAUUACCAAAUAUCCAUAGUCAAAUCAAUUCAAAACUUCAGGUGUCCAAUAACCUACAUAAGUCUGAUAUCUUCUAGUAGACUUAAAACGAAUGGGACAAGAAUAACAAUUCCAUGCGGCAUCUACACAAGAGAUUAUCAACAAGCAAUUAACUCUAUCGGCAAUAUCAUCGCAAAUCUUCUCAAUAUUCUUCAUUUUCUUACUACAUGUAAGCAUCCAAACUCAUCUUACAUUCACAGAAAACGAAGUAAAUGGCAGGAAUUAUUUGGUUGCAAACUGUAGAUCAUGUUAUGCAGAUAGUGGAAAAUUGGAACCUGGAAACAUAACUUGCUGGUACAAAAGCUUGUGCUAUGCAUUAUGCAUUUCCACGAUCAAAGUGCAGUUCUGUGUUUGGGGGCUACAUUAUACAACUCAAUGAGUUCUGGAUACUCCUUGUAGCAGUUGACGAACUUCUCCACAAAUUUCUUCUCUGGAUAUUUCAUGUAUGUAGACAUACUAAGGUUACUGAUGCAAACUCCCCUAGACUUCAGGCCUGUCAAAAUCCGAUGCCUUGGCAUCAACCUUUUCUCCAAACUCAUCAACAAAAUAACUGGCCGAAGUGCAAGAUAAGAUGGAGCACAUCUGGCUUCAUUUACCAAGAACUCCAUCUUCCUCUGCAAACUCUUUAAAGAAAAUCGCACAAACGUAGGAGCCUUUCUGAAUGCAGCAAGGAAAUCAUCCUCGGACCACCCGAAGCCCUUGAAGAACUCCAAGUGAGCCUUGAAGUUCUUCUCGGAGACGCUCUGGAGCACACUCAGGAUCAGGAGGAACAUCCCCGAGGUGCGAGGUACUCCCAAACCCUCGACACGACUGAUUAACGCCUUCAGGGUUUCAGCAUUCCGGGUUAUGAGGAGGGGAUAUUGCCGUAGGAUCAUUGAGAGCUUCUGAUCCGUGAUCCCGCAAUCCCUUAGAAUUUCAAUGUUAGGCUGGAUUCUCUUCUCGAUGCUAUACCCGAGAAACCUCCUGUUCUUCUUGCACAAGUUCACCAAAAAGUCGUUGGACCCGAGGAG